rnacentral:rRNA from 1 species
CCCUUAGAUGUUCGGAGCUGCACGCGCGCUACACUGAAGGAAGCAGCGUGUUAGAGCGCCUGGCUUGAAAGAGCUGGGUAAUCCGGUGAAUGUCCUUCGUGAUUGGGAUAGGGACUUGUAAUUAUUUCCCUUGAACGAGGAAUACCUAGUAAGUGCGAGUCAUCAUCCCGCGCUGAAUACGUCCCUGCCCUUUGUACACACCGCCCGUCGCUCCUACCGAUUGAGUGGUCCGGUGAGGCUUUGGGAUCUGAGCGGAAAGAGCGUUUCGCUGUUUCUGCUCGGAAAACUCAGUCGAACCUUAUCAUUUAGAGGAAGGAGAAGUCGUAACA